rnacentral:rRNA from 1 species
AUCCUUUCGACGAGUCGAGUUGUUUGGGAAUGCAGCUCUAAAUGGGUGGUNAAUUUCAUCUAAAGCUAAAUACCUGCCAGAGACCGAUAGCGCACAAGUAGAGUGAUCGAAAGAUGAAAAGCACUUUGAAAAGAGAGUCAAACAGUACGUGAAAUUGUUGAAAGGUAAACGCUUGCAAUCAGACUCGUUUGCAGAAGCUCAGCCUUCCUUCGGGACGGUGUACUCUUCUGUCAAC